rnacentral:rRNA from 1 species
AGAGUUUGAUCAUGGCUCAGGACGAACGCUGGCGGCGUGCCUAACACAUGCAAGUCGAACGGGGUCCAUGAGAGCUUGCUCUCGGAAGACCUAGUGGCGAACGGGUGAGUAACACGUGAGAAACCUGCCUUGGAGUGGGGAAUAACUCGGGGAAACUCGAGCUAAUACCGCAUACCUUCCUUUGAUCGCAUGGUCAGCUGAAGAAAGAAUUUCGCUCUAAGAGGGUCUCGCGGCCUAUCAGUUUGUUGGCGGGGUAACGGCCCACCAAGGCUAUGACGGGUAGCUGGUCUGAGAGGACGACCAGUCACACUGGAACUGAGACACGGUCCAGACUCCUACGGGAGGCAGCAGUGGGGAAUUUUUCGCAAUGGGGGCAACCCUGACGAAGCAAUGCCGCGUGGAUGAUGAAGUAUCUCGGUACGUAAAAUCCUUUCGACGGGGAAGAAACCGCAAGGUUGACGGUACCCGUAGAAGAAGCCCCGGCUAACUCCGUGCCAGCAGCCGCGGUAAUAC